GCUCUUAUUCCUAAAACGUUUGGAAACUCAAGCUUCCUUGUUGACUCAAUCCGUGUGGCAGAAUUCCAAGGUCGGCCCCUUGCUGAUCAUCCAUCCAUUAAACAUGGACGUCCGCCGGGUGCUCUGACUCUUCCUCGGGAGCCUCUUGAUGCAUCAACAGUUGCGGAGGCAAUCAGUGUAAUCUCAUGCUGGUAUGAGGAUAAAACUGAAUGGGGCCAACGAGUUGGGUGGAUCUAUGGAUCUGUAACUGAAGAUGUGGUCACAGGCUAUAGGAUGCACAACCGCGGAUGGAGAUCUAUUUAUUGUGUAACAAAAAGAGAUGCAUUCCGUGGCACUGCCCCAAUCAAUCUCACAGAUCGGCUUCAUCAGGUUCUCCGGUGGGCCACUGGCUCUGUUGAGAUUUUCUUUUCCCGCAACAAUGCUCUGCUGGCCAGCUCAAGGAUGAAAUUUUUGCAAAGGAUUGCUUACCUGAAUGUUGGAAUCUACCCUUUCACUUCCAUUUUCCUCAUUGUCUACUGCUUCCUUCCUGCACUCUCACUCUUUACUGGUCAGUUCAUUGUUCAGUCCCUCAACCUAACCUUCCUGGUAUACCUCUUGGGCAUCACAGUGACCCUUAUUCUUCUUGCCGUGCUGGAGAUCAAGUGGUCUGGCAUUGCACUAGAAGAGUGGUGGAGAAACGAACAGUUUUGGUUGAUCGGGGGCACAAGUGCCCAUCUUGCUGCGGUGCUCCAAGGUCUUCUAAAGGUUAUAGCAGGCAUUGAGAUUUCAUUCACUUUGACAUCAAAAUCUGGAGGUGAUGAUGGGGAUGAUGAUUUUGUUGAUCUUUAUGUCUUCAAAUGGACAGCUCUGAUGGUACCACCAAUUACCAUCAUGAUGACUAACUUGAUCGGAAUCGCAGUGGCAACUUGUCGAACAAUAUACAGUGCUGCACCAGAGUGGAGCAGCUUGCUCGGUGGUGGUUUCUUCAGCUUCUGGGUCUUAGCUCAUUUAUAUCCCUUUGCAAAAGGGCUUAUGGGAAGAAGAGGGAGGACACCGACGAUUGUGUUUGUGUGGUCUGGUCUUCUAGCAAUCACCAUAUCUCUCCUUUGGGUGGCUAUCGACCCGCCAUCAGGGAAUAAUCAAAUUGGGGGCUCAUUCCAGUUUCCAUGAUGCAUGUACUCCACACAUUAUUUUGAAGGUAUCUUAUCUUCUGUCCAUCUAAAUGCUACUUUAAGCCAGCACCUUCAGGAAGUCGUAUUCAUAGGAAAUGUACAUUUUCUAGCCAUUUUUUGACUGAUUUGAACUUGAUAUUCAUAGGAAAAAUGGAUUCUUUACAUUUGUUGAUAUGAGUAAUUUGUUUUCAGAUUUAAAGUUACAUGAAAUACCGUCACUAGAGCUGAGUAAUUCCAUGUGUUUGGCCUUGCUGUUAUUUUUUCCUUCUUGUUAUGUCUGCGUAGCUUCUCCGGAACUUAAAUGGACCAUACAGUGAAUUUGGAUUAUGCUGCAUCCUCCAGUUUCAUUUUAUUUUUCUAAAUGCACAAAAGGAUUUGGCUAAAAAACAAUUGUACAAAAGAAAAUUGGUAUUUGCGUUCAUUUUUACGCCUGUUAUCUAUUUGUCAAGGGCUUAUUUUGGUGAGGCAAUGGAAUGUAAAUUUUCACAAAUUGGUUAAGCUUUAAGUUGUGGAAGAAUUACAUUAAAUAUUUCCAUAAAGAAUAAUGCAGCCAUUGAAAUCGAGAAUAUUUUUGCUCACCACUCUAAAAUGGUGGUGAGCAUUAGCAGCAUGUUAAUUGGUCUUGGACGAGUGUGAUUUAGUCCACCUAUUACACGAAUCUCAAAACUUCAAUUAAUUCAAUGUUCAUUAAUAUAAUUAGGGUAAAUUACUUAAAUGGUCCUCAAACUUGUACUCAAUUUACAUUUUGGUCCCUCAGUUAAAUUAUUCGUUCAAAUGGUCCAUUAACUAUAUAUUAAUAGCUCUAUUGGUCCUACCAUAUAAUUUUCUGUUAAAUUUAACCAAAUUUUAGGGUAAAUAUGACUUUUCAUAAUUAACAAAUAAAAUAGGGUUUAAAUAAAUACAAAAUUAGAAAAUAAUUGAAGAAAAAAAGAAAAAAAAUUAUGAGACCCAAACCCCCAUCCUAAACCCUAAACCCUUCUCCCCCAUUCCCCACAGACCUCUCCAUAUGGGCAUAAAUCCCCAAAACCUUUGCAGCAAUUUCGGCGUCUUGGCCGAAGAACCAGUACUUGUAAUCGACUUCCACUAUCAAAAGGACAUUUGGGUACCUCUUCUUGAGGUCCACCACUUGCUGCUCCAAAGGCGUGAAUUUGGCAGGUGGGUUGGAAGAAGGAGAAGGUUCUGGAACGUCGGAUGAUGGUUCUAAAAGCUUAUGGAGGAACUUUUGGUGGAGGGAGGGAUUGGGUGCGGUGUGUAUAGAGUCGUGGGUGUAGGGAAAGAGUUUGGGUAGUUUGGGAGAUGAGGAGGUGAGGUGGGAGGAGAGGAGAGUGCACUUGGAGGGUGAGAAAUUGACAGUGGCUGUGGGAGGGAGGGGGUUUGGCGGGUAAUGAGGUGGGGAGGAGGGUGGUGGGUGGUUGUUUGUCAACAACAAAGGGAAAUCAAGGGGGAGAGGGUCUGGGUGGUUGUUGAGUUAGGGUUCUGGGUUCGUUGGGAGGGGGUAUGUGGAAGAUUUUUUUUCUUUUCUUUUUUUUGUGGUUGCUGGCUCGGGUGGAGGUUGGGGAGGAGCUGGGGUUCUGGGUUCAUGCGGUGGACCGUGGUUGUUGGAUGGGUUUGGGUGGAGAGUGGUUGUGGGAUGGGUUUGUGGGUUGGAGUUUGAGGGUGGUGGCCAUGGGAGAGAGAGAGAGAGAGAGAGAGAUAGAGAGUUUUUAUUUUAUUUUUCAAUAUUUAUUUAUUUUUAAUGUACGAAAUGACCAAUUUGCCCUCAUAUUUAAUAGCAAAAUUAACAUAAUGUAACGAUAGGACCAAUGAAGCGAUUAAUAUAUAGUUAAUGGAUUAUUUGAACAAAUAAUUUAAUUGAGGGACCAAAAUGUAAAUCGAGUACAAAUUUAAGAACCAUUUGAGUAAUUUACCCAUAUAAUUAAUAUGGUGGUAAUGCUCGCUACCAAGAGUGGUGAGGAAAAAUAGCGUCAUUGAAAUCUAUGUGGUCAACUGAUUUGGGUGGGAUUGUUGAAGUUGAUAGAUUAUUACUGAUCAUAUCGAUAAAUUUUUUUUAUUAUUAUUAUUUUUUAUUAUUUUUUUUGCGAAAGGAUCAUAUCGAUAAUUGAUUACCCACUUUAAACAUUUCAUUUUCAUGGAGCACAAAUCUAUGUGGCCAACGGUUAAAAAAGAAACCUUGCAUUUGUUUUUGUUUCCUAUUCCCAAGUGAGGAAUAGUGAGGAUUUGGAUAAAGGUUUCCAUUUCCUAAUUUUAAGAUUAAAAAGAAGAUUUUGAAAAUGAAAGUCAAAUUCAUUCAGUCUUAAAAUUAGUAACUUUCAAUUACCUACUUACAUUUAGAUUCUAAUACGAAAAAUCCUAUACAAGUUUUGAACUGGCAGCAGCAAUCCCAUUGAAAAGUAAAAUCCUCUGUUCUCUCUGUUUUCCACUGUUUUCUAACAGAACUCCAGCCAGCAAUGACAGAGAAGUUGCAGCUCUGCCAUGAGCACCUUAAGUCUUUCUUUUAAUUUUUGUGGAGACUUGGGCAGCAAGCAAAGCACCCAAUCCCAAUUGCAAAUGAAAUCAUGUCAAGCAAUCUAAUAAUUUGGCUUUGAGAGAUAUAGAAAAGUAAAGAAGCCAUAGAAUGCUUAGUAACCAAGGCAAAAACCCAUGUCACAAAACAAAACAAAAUAGCAUAAAAAUAUCCAGCAACCUUAUAAACACUUCAAAAGUACAUACCAAUAUUAAGAUAUGUUUAUGGUUUUAACAGAAAGGGGGAAAAAACUGUGAGUUCUAAUAAAGCAAAAUAGAAAGUAAAUGCAAUAAACUUGAAUAAAAUUUUCAAUCUCGGGUACGAGACAUUAUAUCUUUGUAAAAUUCUUCUUGCAGAUCCAUCUCUUCCUUGUUCUCCUCAAGCUGCAUUUUUAUUCUCCGUUUUAAAAUGCGAUUUUCCUCCUGCACCUUCUCGAGCUUGUCACGAAGUAUCUCAUUAGUCUGUUCAGCAUCUUUUCUAAGCCUCUGUUCUAUAGGAAGUUUGUCCUUCAACCAAAUAACCUGUUGGCUGUCCGCACUCAUUUGCCUCAUUGGGUGUAGGACCACCUCUUGGUAAGAUCUCAGCUCAAAUUUCAGCUUAGAUUUCUCCUCGGUAUGCUGGUUGAAUAUAUCCAAGUCUCGUUUCACUGCCAUGUAACCGUAAAGCUGUCGAAUACCACCUGCACGAAACAAGAUAGGACCACAAUCCCAAGUAUCCCUGCCUAAUCCUUGCACUGCAAAAUUCUUGUGCAGCAGCCCAGCCUCAAAAUGGCCUAUUGCUGAGGCCUCAAAAAUCAAAAUGCUCAUACCACAGUGUCCCUGCGGACCAUACGAGUGUCGAGUCUUCAAAUAAGGAUAAGAUCCGAAGUAUUCAGCAAGCUCCUCGGUUCCCAUACCAAUCCACUUUCCACUUUCAUCCUUUUCAAGUCUAGUAUUCGUGAUGACAACCAUCGGAGGCCAGACAAUUUUGGAAUCCUUUUCCUCAUCUUUUAAACCUACCCAUUUACCAAAUACUUCACCCGCAGCCACAGAUUGAGUCAUAACUCCUCUCAUCUGCAACUCCACAUCCAAAAGUUUUGCAAAUUCUCUGUGGAGCUUCACCCUAUUUGAUCCUUUUGUUUCGGCAUGUCUCUUCAGGGGCUGCACGCCUUGGUACCAGUCAAUGGCACCACGACCACCUUUGCAUGCAGGACAGUGCCACUGUCUGUCAGGAUUACCAAUCUCACCUCCACUUAAACCAUCCAAAUUUUCAAAGAAUUUCUUGAACCAUCUAUUUUGCUUCCUAGUGCCAUGGCUCUUUUCACUUGAAUCCGAGUCAAACUCAUCACUGAAUAGCUCGUCAUCAUAUUCGUCAGUGUCGCUCAUAUGAUCAGAGUUGUCAUCAUCAUUAUCAUCAGCGAGAGCAGCAGCCACAUUGUUGUCUUUUUUACCAGCUCUAGAUUGCCAAUUCCAUCCAUGGUCCAGGGGAGGGGGAAUCAAAUGUUGCCGGGCCACAAAGUUGCUUCCAAAACCACCAGUACUGUUAGGCUGCUGCCUUGCAUUUCUUCCUCCAGCUGGUUUUUGAGAAUUAGCAGUUUGUGAACCACCAGUUCCAUUUCGCAUACUUGGCUUCUGAGCAUCAUGUGCCGGUGCCCACGCCUUAUAAUUAGAAUUUUGAGGACCCAAUUGGACUAGUUUUGCAGCACUGCUACCAGCUCUGUUCUUGGAUUUUCUGGAAAUUACCGCCCACUCUCCAUCGUCUUGUGCCGAGUCCAGGCUAAUGUCUGCUACACCAUGGCUCAACUGCUUAACCUUCGGGCUAUUGACUUCACGAACUUCCUUCCCUUUGGAAUUUCCACCACCUCUUCUUGAACUCAUCCUGGACAACAACCCUUUCUCUUGAGGGACCAUAAAGUUAAAAAAACACUUCAAAUAUAAGUAUCUGAUACCUAGUAAGGGACAUAAGUGCCCCGAAAUCUCAGAUUAUAAAUAGAAAACUUGAUAAACCUAGAGCAAGGCUGUAAGACUUUUGUAGGAAAUCUGAAUGAAAACCCAUAGAAAAUCAACAUUCUUAAUAAAAUUCUGCAUAUAAUCAACAUUCUUAAUAAACUUCUGCAGAAAAUCAACAUUCUCAAUAAACUUCUGUAGAAAAUCAACAUUCUUAAUAAACUUCUGUACAAAAAAUCAACAUUCUUCGUAAACUUCUGUCAUACCCAAUUCAUAAAUAAUGAAAGAAAGACAAAAAUUUUGAAACACCGAAUUUUUAAUACAUUCAACAUAAUUAAUGAAAAUGAACAUUAGAAUCAUUUGAAAAAAAAUGGUAUAAACCCACAUUUUGGGGAGCAUGAAUCCAUUCAACGAAACAAAAUAAAAAAUAAAAAAACAUAAAUCAAAACAUCCGAAGUUGGGAUUGCUGCCAUGAACGCGAUCAAUAGUAAGACCAAUAUCAGCCAUGAACCCAUCCAGCAAAAUUAAAACAUUAAUAAAAGAAUAAACAAUAAAGAAGGAUGUACCUGAUGCCAAUGAGAUUACAAGAAACAAAAGAUAUUGGCGGAGCAGAGGAGGCGCCUUGCAAGAUGAACUCCAACAGUCCACCUCCAGAGUAGACUCCAGAGACAGAGUGAUGCGAAGAGUGUGUGGUGCCUAAUCUGAGAAAAUAACUUUCGUGGGUUUGGGUGUAUAUAUAAUCUAUGUCUCUAUCUCUCUUUUCACGUGAUACACUCUCUCGUAAUUUGGAAAUAUUGUACAACUUAUGUGCCUAUAACUAUUGUGUCAUUUUAAAUAUAUGACCACGUAACAAGGACCAAUAAAAUAAAUCCAUGUCAUACACUCCGUUUCUUUCUUUAUUGGAUACACUCUCGUAAUUUAGAAAAAAAAGCAUGCGAUUCGUAACUGUUGUGUCUUGUGAAAUAGACGACCACGUAAUAAGGACCAAUGACAUAAAGUAUUGUCAUAGACACUCUGUCUUUCUUCACGUGAUACAUUCUCGUAAUUUGGAAAAAAAAUCGUGAGACUCGUAACUGUUGUGUCUUGUAAAAUAGACGACCACGUAAUAAGGACCAAUGACAUACAGUCUUGUCAUAAACACUGUGUCUUUCUUCACGUGAUACACUCUCGUAAUUUAGAAAAAAAAUCGUGAGACUCGUGUACUUAUAAUUAUUGUGUCACGUGAAAUAGACGACCACGUAACAAGGACCAAUGGCAUAAAGCCAUGUAAUUAUCAAUCGCCAACCUUGACAAGAGUAAUUACCCAUGUUAAAGGUAAGUUUUUCUUGUUAUCUAAAGAAAUUAUAAGGCUCGUGUGUCCAUAACUAUCAUGCCAUGUCAAAUAGAUGACCAUGUAAGAGCAUCUCCAACAAUAGUAGCAAAUUAAAUUCUUCAAAUUAAAGUUUGUUGACUUAUGUGGCAAUUUGGAAAGGUUUAUUUGCUACUUUAAUAAUUUGUGUCACAUCAGUCUCUCAAUUCAAUUAACGCAAUAUUAUGAAAAAAGAAGAAGAAGGAAAAAUACAAAAAUAUGUGAAGAAGGUCUAUGUAUUUAUUAUUUGAAAAGAAAAAGUGUAGGUUUUUAUCAUUUUCAAUGUAGGUUUUGUUCUUCCAAAGAAAAAUUAAAUGUUUUGAAGAGCCAAGGUCAACAUGUCAGACUUGAAGAGAGAGACAUGGGUUGCAGCUUUAGUGACUGAGUUUGACAAGUCUAUUAGAGGGAGUUUUGUUGAUGUGACUGACUUAUUUUAGCAUUCCAAAGUUGUUGAAGAGGCUAUUGAAGAUGCUUUAACAAUAGAUGUGUCAAAUGGACCGAGUUGGCCGGCUUAAGUAAGGCUCGGCAAGAAAUGGCCUAUAUUUUUGGGCCGUGCCGGGAGAAGGUAAUUAUGUCCAAUGGGCUGGGCCAGCCCAUUUAAAGUCUAUUUAUUAAAUUAUACUUUUUUUAGAGAAAAAUCAUACAUAAUAUUAUAAUAUUUAUAUGUUGAAUUCAAGUCUAUUUCUUUUCUCCAAUAUUAUAUAUUAAAAUUUAAUGUUUUAUUUAUAUAUAAAAUAAUAAUUUUGUUUUUCAAGUUCAAUUUUUAAAACUCAAACAAUAAUCUAGCCAUUUUCUAUUUAAAUGUACUGUAAAUAAAGUUAUUGACUUUUUUUUUAAACAAAUAAUAAAUCUUAUUAGGAUAUACAUAAUUGUAAAAAAUAUUUAAAUGAAGUUGUAAAAAAAAUUACAAAAAAAGAAAAGAAGAAGCAAUAUAUAAGUCAAAUUUGGCGUGGGCCCAUACCAGCUUGUUUAGUGGGCCGGCAUAAGCAUGGCCCUUAGGCUAGGGCCAUGGGCUCGGGUCAGGAUUGAUUAUUUUUCUAAAUGGGCGGCCUGGGCACGACCCGUUUAUUAAAUGAACCAACUCUAAAUCGGUCGGGCCAGCCGAUUUGACACCUCCAUCUAACAAGAACCAAUGACAUAAUGCCAUAUCAUCCUUAGUUGCCAACACUGAUAAGAGUAGUUACCCACAUUGCAUAUACAUUUAUCUCUUAAUUUGACGAAAUUCGUGUGGCUCAUAUGCUUAUAACUAUUUUCUCACGUCAUAUUGAUGACCACGUAACAAGGAGUAGUGAUAUAAUGCCACAUCAUUAUUAAAUGCCAACAUUGAUAAGAGUGUAACUGGCUUAGUUUUGGACAUAAGUUUCUCUUUAUGACAUGUUUACUAACUUGAAAUAUUGGAGCGAACAUGAAUCAGAGUGAGCAUGAGUCACUAUAAGGCAUUCUUAUUAAAAUGUUUACUAAGUGUCUAAAAUUAGAAUAAAAUAACGAUUCCGCAAGAUUUUUUACUAAAUUGUUAAGAAUUGAAAUGCAAACUAGGGUGAAUAAUAGAAUGUCCUUUUACAAAAGAAAUUAUACUUUAAUCCAACUUACUAGUAAAAAUCUUCAAAUGCUCUCUUUCUACUCUCACUCCAUGUUAGUAAUAAUAAAUUCAUCAUAUGGCUCGAGCCACCUCGUAGCUUUAGAUGGGUCGACUGAACUCGAUUUUUUAAUGGGCAAGGCAUGAGCUAAGAGUUUAAGACCCAAGCCCAGCCCAAAGCUCGAUCCAUUUGAGCCCAUUGUGACCCAACCUAGCCCAGCUCGCCCAUAAUUUUCUAUAAAUUUGGGGGCUGAUUUUCCCACUCCUCUUUUGUCUACUUACACUCCCUUGUAUGUUAUAAUAAAUAAAUAAAAACAAAUGGAAUUGUAAGUAGACAAAAAGAAAAUGGAAAAAUUAGCACCCAAUAUUUAAGGUAUGAUUAAUAUGUAUUAUAUUAAUUGAUGUUUUAUUAUUCAUUAAUCUAUUAUCCCAAAACUACAUUUAAAUACAAUUUGAAUUUGACCCAACAUAUUGUUGUGUUUAGUAGAAGAUUUGCCCAUAUAAAUUAUAUCAAAAGGAAGAAAAAUUUGAUGAUGAAUCUUAUGAAAAAAGGGGUUUUCAAUACAAACCCAAUUUUAGAUGAAAAUGUUGGGUAUAAGACCCACAUAUUUGAAUUAUGAAUUGCCCAAUUUGUAUUUAUUAUUUAUUAUUUAUUUUUCAUGACUAUUUUGCCCUUGAAGGUAAAUAAUGAAAAUAAAUUAAGGGGGGUGUAUCCAAUUAUAACUUUUCAUGACUUUUAAUGACUUUAAAAGUCUGAAGGUAUUCAAUUGUGACUUUUAAAUAGUCUUUAAAAGUUUAGUUGUAUUCAAUUGUGAGUUUUAAAGAGUAUUUAAAAGUUUUGAGGUAUCCAAAAUAUUAAUGACUUUUAAAAACUUUGUUAAAUAAAUGACUUUUCAAUACUUUUAAAGGUAAUUCUUACUACCAAAAGUCUUGCUAAUUUACACCAGACUUUAUGAAAAUAUUGGGAAGUUGAGAAGAUAGAACCAAAACGUCUCCAAACGUCUCCAAUUCUUUCUUCCCUUGUUAUAUCAAGCAUCAAGCAGAUAGAUCUUUUUUCUUCAUGGUUAGGGCUCCACUUUGGUAUCCCAUUGUCAUCCACUUCCUUCAGGUUAGUAAAAAAAUAUUGAAUAUUUUUCUUCUCUUCUCAUCCACACGUUUACUUUCCCUCUAUUGAUGAAUAUUUCUUCUAUUAGUAAAAAAAGCUGUGUUUGCAUAUAAAUAUUUUAUUAUAUUGAUUGUCUCAUAUGCUAUGUUUGCAUACAAUAUUUUAUUAUAUAAUUUGUUGCCCCUAACCCCAUUAAUUUAUUCUUUAGGUACUGUUUUUUUACCCAUAAUUCGUUAGGUGGAUAAUUUUUUCAUAUAAUAUUUACAUCCCAAAUAUUAGGUUAGGAGAAUUGCUGGAAUAUAGACUCUUUUGUAAUCUAACCAUUUCUGUUGAUUUGUGAGUGUUUAUGAAAGAUUAUAUUAAGGUGAGCUUCUAUUUUCGAAAAUAUAUUAUAUGAUAAUUUAUUAUUUUGUAUGUGUAUGCAUUAAUUGUUUUUUUUUUCCCUUUGUUAGUCCCACCCGGCCCAUGUCAACUUUCAGACAGACACUUUUGCUGACUAUGAACUUCUGAGAAUUGCAAUUGGGAAUGGAACUGCCAUUGGAAGAAACUCAAUUGCAUUGGGAGAUGAUACGGAUGCAAGAACAUUAGGAGUGGAAGAAAGUAGACGUGUGGGGAUAGAUGACUUGAGUUAUGACUAUGAUAAUCAUGCAUUCAUACCAAAUGAAGUCGAAGCUGCAACAUUCCAAGCUCCGACUAGUUCAAUCAACAUAAAAGAUAAAUGCUAUUUGUAAAAUAAAUAUAAAAAUAAGUAUUUAAAAGUCUAUAAAAUUCUAUGACAAAAGUAUAUGAAAGUUUGUCACUUAACUUUAUAAAGUAUGUAAAAGUCAUUAAGAAUUUGUCAACUCUAGAAAAGUCAUUCACUCAAAAAAAGUCUUUAAAAGUUAGAAUUGGAUACACCCCCCUAAAAUUCCUUGGUUUAAAGCAUUAUCACUCUUAAAUUUUGAAUUUGAAUUUUGAAAAUUUAUGGCUAAAAAAAUCAUAACUCAUAUAGACCAAAUCAAAAAAAUUGGUAGUGUAAGUAUAAUCCACAUAAGAUACAUUAAUCUACCUUAUCAAAAGGUCAAAAUGAAGAACAUGUGUUUACAUGACGAAAAUAUGCAUGAGCAGAAAUAUAAAAUUGUAUUGACAAAAAUUUAUAUACCUAGAGAAAACUCACAAAUUGUAUCCUUCUUUGUUAGGUAGAUUACUUCGACUCUCGAACCUAUUUGAGAGGUAGUUAACAUAAACCUGUUUUACCUAUGUACAUAAUAGAAAAAAGAGAAGAAACUGUUACGUUUUCUAGUUAGAUCGGUGUACUAGAUACUAAGUUAUAUCAUGUUUUGAUAAGAGUUUAAAUUAAGUUAUACCUUGAGGCCCCAAAACUUUGUGGAAUAAGGAAAGUUUUUGAAGCCUAUUAAGGGGUCCUAUUUAUUCCUUUUUUUUUUCCAUGAACCGUUUUGGUGGGCUUGGAAGAUUAGUAAAGUCGGUCCUCGGUGAUGAGUAGAGACGACUUGACCUACCCCUAUAUAAGCUUAAGUCCCUACUCCCAUCAGACACGUUCUCUAACCCUAAUCUCAUCAUAAAGAGAGAAUUGAAACAGAUUCUGAGAAAGAGCAGAAGUCUUGAGUCGUUCCUGUUCUUACUGGGAUUGUUGCUGCUGCUAUUGAAUGAGUUCAAAGGUCGUGUAAUCAAGAAAGAUGGCAUCAAGUAUGUCUUUACAUACUCCAGAUUGUGUGAAACAUCAUGAACACGCAUAUAAAGAAAUCUAACAGUUGGUAUCAGAGCAUAUGGUUAUUCGCACACACUGAAAUCGUUUUCAAGCGUGCCUAUUAUGAUAUCUUAUCUGUUUAUGCCAUGAUGAGUUUUUGGUUAUGUUUAAAAUUUGAAGAUGGAUUAAACAUGUUUUUUAAAAUAUCAAGAAUAUUAAAGAAUCUGGAAAAGCAUGUUUUAAUUUGAUUUUUCAUAUCUUCAAAACUUUAAACACGUUUUUGACUUACUAGAUUACCUUAAAACCCUAAAAAUGCCUAUAGGUCACAGCAAAGCAAUGUGUUGUCUUAAUUAGGUCAUUAUCUAUUCAGAAAGGUAUUUUGCGUCAAAAACAGACACUUAAAAUUCCAAAAACACUGUUCAUGGCAGAAAUUACUAUUCACUACAAUUUAGGAUUUUCUCUCUUUAAUUGUGUUUGUUUGGUUAUUUUAUGAGCUAGAUAGUUGUUUGUCUUUGUUAUGAGAAUCAAAAAAUUGUUCAUAACAAAACCAUACCUAAUUACUCAAACCCUAAAGAAAUAACCAAAAUUGCAUCAUACCUAAAUUGCUUGAUAAGUUUCUUCAACAAAUAGAAUCUAUCCUGUAAUUUGUUUAUGAUGGCACAAGAUAAUUCGUAAUUUAUGUAAGCCAUAAAUAAUCUCUUGCCACAAAGGUGUGAUACUUAAUUAAGGAAGCUUGCAUAUGUUAUUUGUUAAUUUUGUGAAUAAAGUUAAAUGAAAAAUUUGUUUUCUCUUAACAAAUUGAUAAUCGGUUUGUUGGAAAGUAAUUAUACUUUCUUUUGCAAAUCCUUACAGCUUUGAACACUCCCUCAAUCAAUUCUCGCAAAUUGAAACUCUCACUUGAUCAAAUUUCCAAUGAUGGAAGUUCGAUCUUUGAAGUUGCACUAGGCAUGAGUGAUAUCAAUUAUGCUAUCACCAAAGAUGAGCCAACCAGACCCUUUGCGAAUUCCCCUGCUAAAGUUAAAAGGGUGCAUGAGGCUUGGAGGAUGGCAAAUAAGGUUUGUCUGUUGGCUAUGAAGAAGACUAUUACAUAAGUUGUUUUUGGUGGAGUUCUAGAAACAGAAAGUGCCAAGCAGUUUAUGGAAUCCAUUGAAAGGAAAUUUAAGGAAUCUGACAAGGCUGAAACGAAGAAUUUAUGUCUAGGCUGACUAAUACGAAGUAUGAAGAAGGCAUCGUAAGAGAACAUCUCAUGGGACUCGUGGAUAUUGUUGCCAAAAUGAGCAGGUUGAAAGUAUUUAUUGAUCCAAAUUAUCUAGUGCAUAUUGCGUUAGAUUCCUUACCUUAUGAGUAGAUUGGACAAUGGAUGACCUAAUUACAAUUGUUAUUCUUGAGGAGAAUAGGACAAAAGCUUGUGGUGGUGUGGUUAAUGUGGUCACUGCCAGGAAGUAUGAGAAUAAGGGUGCUGCAAAAUAGGGAGUAAAGAAGCAUAGUCAAUCUCAAAAGAACAACCCUCUUGGCAUGACCCCUUACCACUGAAUUCAAGUGCUAUUUUUGCCAGAAGAAAGGUCACAUGAAGAAGAACUGCAACAAUUACAAGAAGUGGUUCGAGAAAAAGAACAAGAACAAAGGUAAAAAAGAAUUGGUCCUAGUGAAUUUUGAGUCUAAUUUAGUGGAUGUUCCUUCUAAUUCUUGGUGGUUAGAUACGGGUACCUCGAUUCAUAUAGCUCAUAAUGUGCAGGAAUUCAUAAGAAGGAGGGAACCAAGAAGGCAUGAAGUUAAAGUGUUCGUGGGGAAUGGAGAGUAAGUAGAUGUGGAAGCCAUUGGAGUAGUACAUGUGAAAUUGAAUUUAGGAUUUAUUUUAGAGUUGGAUGAUGUAGUUUUAGUACCCGCAAUGAAGAGGAAUUUGAUUUUUGUUUCAAGAUUAUCAAGACUUGGUUUUGUUUUUCAAUUCAAUAAAGAUGGCUUUGCAUUAUCUCAGAAUUCAAAUGUUCUUGUUGCUAGUUUUCUCUCAAAUGGAUUAUAUGGUCUCAAUUACAAUAAAGAUUGUGAAGUUUUAGUGGCUGAAUAGAGUGAGAAAAGGAUUAGAAUUGAAGGAACAUCCAUUAGGUUAUGGCAUAAACGUUUAGGCCACAUUUCAAAAGAAAGAAUGAAAAUUCUUGUUAAGGAAUAAAUCUUGCCAUCACUGACUUUUGAUUAUGACGAAAUUUGUAUUGAAUGUGUUAAUGAAAAACUCAAUAAGACUAAGAAGAAAGGAGCAACUCGCAGUAGCGAUCUUUUAGAAAUCAUCCACAUAGAUAUUUGUGGACCAUUCCCCAUCAAACAAUUGAUGGACAUCACUAUUUCAUCACCAUUAUAGAUGACCAUUCUCGUUUAGGUUACCUAUAUCUCAUAGUAGAAAAUUUUCAAGCUUUUGAAAUGUUCAAGAUUUUUCAAACUGAAGUAGAAAGGCAACUUGAGAAGAUCAAGAUUGUGAGGUCAGACAUAGGGGGUGAAUAUUAUGGACGUUUUGAUGAAGAAAGACGACGUGUUGGACCUUUUGCUAGGUAUAUACAAGAUAAUGGAAUAGCUGCUUAGUACACAACACCAGGAACUCUGCAACAGAAUAGUGUGGCUGAGAGAAGAAAUCGAAUUUUGAAGGAUAUGGUUUGUAGCAUGAUUUCCAAAAUUGAUUUGCCUAAGAGUCUAUGGAGAGAAGCGAUCAAAACAGCAAACUACAUACUUAAUAGAGUGCCUAGCAAGUCCGUACCUAAGACACCUUUCGAAAUUUGGACUACCAGAAAGCCUAGCCUACGACAUCUUCAUGUAUGAGGUUGUAAGGCUGAAACUAGAAUCUAUAACCCUCAAGAGAAUAAGCUCGAUCUUAAAAUGAUUAGCUAUCAUUUUAUAGGUUAUCCCGUAAGGUCAAAGGGUUUUAGGUUUUACUGUUUAAAUUAUGGUACCCGAAUUUUUGAGACUGAUUGUGCAAAGUUUUUAGAGUAUGAGGAGAAUGAUUGUGCAAAGUUUUUAGAGUAUGAGGAGAAUGCUACUGACAAUGAAGAUUUUAUUUUUGAAGAAGAAGGGGAUGUGGCUGUGAUUGAGAAUGUUGAACCAGAAUCUACAACAUUGAUCCCCAUGAGUGACAUCGCACUAGCCCCACCGAGUGGUCAAUUGGAGCCUCCACAGUUCGAAGAACCAAUUGACCAACAAGAAGAACAAACUCCAGAAAACCCACACUAAGAAAAUUCACUCGAACCAAUACCAUUAAGGAGAUCUGAUAGAACAAGAAGAUCCAUAGCAAUUUCAGAUUAUGUGUACUUACAGGAAGUAGAUUUUGACAUUGGAGAUUAGGUUGAUCCAAUAAGUUUUAAAGAAGCUAUGGAGAGUCAGAAUGCAAACAAAUGGAGGGAAGCAAUGUUUAAUGAACUCGAAAGCAUGAAGAAUAAUCAAGUAUGAGAAUUAGUUGAACCCCACAAGAGCCAGAAAUUGGUAGGCUUGAAAUGGGUUUUUAAAAUAAAGAAGGAUAAAGAUGGAAGAAUCGAAAGAUUUAAGGCUAGAUUGGUAGCAAAAGGAUUCACCCAAAGGGAAGGAAUUGACUACACUGAGAUGUUUUCUCCAGUUUCCACCAAAAAUUCUUUCCGCAUAAUUAUGGCUUUGGUGGCGCAUUAUGACCUACUUUUACAUCAAAUGGAUGUAAAAAAUGCUUUUCUGAAUGGUGAACUCGAAGAAGAAAAUUUUAUGAGACAACCUGAAGGGUUUGCAAAGGAGAGAAAAGAGCAUAUGAUUUACAAACUUAACAAGGCAUUCUAUAAAGUGAAGCAAGCAAGCAUAAGGUGGUAUUUCAAAUUCCAUCAAACUGUUUCAUCUUAUGGUUUUGAAGAGAACAUAACCGAUCAAUGCAUUUAUCUAAAGAAGUGUGUGAGCCAAUUUAUUUUUCUAGUGCUGUAUGUCGAAAUAUACUUUUGGCUACAAAUGAUCACAAUUUACUUAAAGACACUAAGGAGCUACUUUCAAACAAUUUUGAGAUGAAGAAUUUGGGAGAAGCUGAUUUUGUGUUUGGCAUUGAAAUUCAGAGACACCGAGCUCGAGGCCUCCUAAGCCUGUCACAGAAAACAUACAUUGAAAGGAUACUCAAGCGUUUUGACAUAAGUAUGUGUUCUGGAUAGAAAGUUCUGUUAGCUAAAGGAGAUUUAAAGAAGGAGCAUUGCUCCAAAAAUAAAGAAGAAGAGGAUGAGAUGAGGAACAAGCCGUACGCUUUUCUAGUUGGAAGCAUCAUAUACGCACAAGUGUGUACAAGGCUAGACCUUGCCUUGUGCACUAGCAUGAUGGGGUGAUUUCAGUAAAAUUUGGGAAUGCUACAUUGGAUAGCUGAAAAGAAGAUUCUAAGGUACCUACAGAGAACAAAGGCUUUUAUAUUGAUUUACAAACGUACAUAGAAUUUAGAGCUUGUUGGUUAUGCUGAUGCGAAUCUUGGAAAAGCAGAGGAUGAUUAUAUCUCUACAUCAGGUUUUCUUUUCAAGAUGGCAGGAGCAGUUGUUGCUUGGAAGAGUGCUAAACAAUAUGGUGUUUCGAGUUCAACCAUGUUUUCAAAAUACAUAGCUUACUAUGAAGGCACUUCUCAUACAGUAUGGCUAAGGAAUUUUAUUAAAGACAUUAAGGUGGUGGACUCGAUUUCUAGACCAAUACAGAUAUUUAAUGACAACACUGCAUCUGUUUUUCACUGCAUGAACAACAAGAUGUCAUCUGGACUUCAGCAUAUUGACAGAAAAUAUUUAAUAGUGAGGGAGAAGGUAGGUGGACAAACAAGUCAGGUUUGAUCAUAUCAGAACUCAAGAUAUGAUUGCAGAUCCGUUCACAAAGUUUUUUUUUCCUUUAGAAGCUUUUUUGAGACAUGUUGAGAGCAUGAGAUUAUUUCCUAGCUUUGAUGUUGCAAUCUAAUGGAAGUCUUGUUUUCAUUAUGAUAUUUUACUGGUAUGUUUAUUUAGUUGUUUUCUGGAUUGAGGGAUUUGCAUUUAAGGAUGUUAAUUUGGUUGACAAUUUUAUUUAUUAUUGAAUAAAUUCUACCAUUUUGACUAUUUAGCUGUUUAAACUUAUUAUGUAAUUUCGUUUAUGCAUGUGAGUUUAUGGUCUCUUUUGAGAUGCUAUUGUUUUAAUAACAUUGCGGAUUGACUCUUGCUAAGUCGUAAAGGGGUACAUGUACUGAAAAAUAUAGAGAUUCACAUUACGGAUCAAUACAUAUUAAGGUUAGCAUUGGUAGGUGCUUCAUGUAUUUUGAGAUUGCAUUAUGUGAUUAUAGAUGACCUAUUUUUAAUAAAGUGAGCAGUGCUUGUCUAUAGUUCGUUUUGUCUAAUCGCUUUUCACUGUAGCUUGAAGGGAAGGACUUAAACGUUUUAAAUUCAUGGCCAGUAAAGAUUAUCAAACCUUUUGGAAUGCAGAAGCUUAAUGCUCUAGUGCUUGAUCUAGUGGGAGAAUGUUAUGUUUCCUAGUUAGAUCGGUACACUAGAUACUAAGUUAUAUCAUGUUUUGAUAAGAGUAUAAAUUAAGUUAUACCUUGAAGCCCAAAACCUUGUGAAAUAAGGAAAGGUUUUGAAGCCUAUUAAAGGGUCCUAUUUAUUUCCUUUUUUUGCGUGAACCAUUUUGGUGGGCUUGGAAGAUUAGUCAAGGCAACCCUCGGUGAUGAGUAGAGACGACUUGACCUAGCCUUAUAUAAGGUUAAGGCCAUGCUCUCAUCAGACACGUUCUCUAACCCUAAUCUCAUCACAAAGAGAGAUCUAAAACAGAUUAUGAGAGACAGCAUAAGUCUUGAGCUGUUCCUGUUCUUGCUGGGAUUGUUGCUGUUGCGGUUGAAUGAGUUUAGAGGUAAUGUACUCAAGAAAGAUGGUACCAGGUAUGUCUUUACGUAUUUCAGAUUGUGUGAAAGAUCAUAAACACGCAUAUAAGGAAAUCUAAAAGAAACAUAAAUUGCUCCUACAUACAAGGUAAACAAAUAAAAAGUAUUUAAAAUUUUUUUUUUUAUAAAAAUAAGAAGAGAAGAAGGAGAACCUAUCAUUGUUGAGAUCUUAAGAAGAUUUGGAUUUGCAUAAGGGAGAGUUUAGAGAGAUAAAUGUGUGUAUGUGUGUGUUAUAAAUGGUUAUUAUGUUAGUAUAUUUCAAAGCAAAUAAAGAAAGUUUUGUUUUGGUAAAUAAUAAAUAAACUUAGAUAUUAUUAGGGGGUAAUAUGGGCAUUGAGAAAAGUCAAACUUGAUUAUUAAUAUGAUAAUUAAUGAAAAUUUUGAUAAAAACCCAAACAAUGGGCCUACAUUGAUCCUUAAAAAACCCAUGAGUUUUUCCCUGUGAGUGCUUGCAGUUUUGGGUUAAUAUCUAAUUUUCUAAUAAAAAAAGACAUUAAUUAUGAUGUCAAUCCUAUAAUUAGUAUAUAUAAUGUUAAUUAAUAAUUACCCUCUUAAUGGAAGAUGCAUUUAUUACUUUGUGAAAAAAAAUAUUUGAAAAAAUAUAAAAAAUUGCGACACCAUGCGGUUGGAGCUUUGAAUGUGAAGAAUGCAAUGCAAAUUGAUUAUGUCAAUGAAAAAGACAUUGAUUAUAACCAAACAGUUAAUUUUUAAUUCUUUUUCAUGCCAUCUCUCAAUUCAAAUUUUACUCCAAAAAUAUAAAAUCAAACAAUGCAUUCACACAAAUUUCUCUUUGUCAAUGGAAGCAAUAACUUGCUUGAAGGGUUUCAAGAAGACCCCUUAUUGGCAUUUGGUCCAGAGAUCGGAGAGAUACAGCAGCAAAAAGAAACAAAUAGUUGGUGAGCAGCUUACUUUCGCCCUCGAAAACCCACCACUUUUAUUAUUGGCUAUUUUGGUUCAUGAUAUGUUUCUCAAUUGUGUCACACAAAAGUAUAUGGAGAGCAUAAACAUUUUUAAAAAUGUGAGAGUUACGCUGCUACAAAGUAGCCUUCGAAAUGGUACGAAAUUAUUCUGCCCAAGAUAAGUAAAAAGUAAUAAGAUUUGCAAUAAUUUACAAAUUUUGAACAAAAAAAUGUCGGCACUUGUUGGUUUGGUUGUUGAUGCAAGGUUCUUUGUCGUGUUUGGUAUACCGUACAACACCCACAAUAAGUUUAAAUAGACCGAAAUGUGAAUUCUAAAUGGAGAGAAGAUGACAUUUUUUAGCAAAACCAUGAAUUCUAGGACUAAAAGAAGCUAUUUUAAUAAAACUUUCCUUUAAAGUGGUCAUGUGAUGAUGAUCAUAUGUCACCAAAUUUCAUGAAAAUUCAUGAAAAUUUUGUCAUAAUGCUAUAGUAGGGACCAAAUUGAUAUAUGAACCAAAAAAUGAAAGACAACAUUGAUUAAUUUAAAAGUUGAGAACUAAAAUGUGGAUUUAAAAAAAAAAUUCAAGGACACAUUUGAUAAACCUCAUUUUAAAUAAAUUUUUUUAUAAAAAAAAGUGGGUCUCUUAAAAAACAAGAAAGAAAAAGGGCUAGCAUUUUUAUUACGAAAGGCCACUUUAAAAAGAAAAAGCAAAAGAUGAUUUGGUUAUCCCAUCCCAUCUCACCCCAAGUAUAAAAAUACAAAAUAAAAUAAAUCGGGUCUAGUCUAAUGAAAUAGAGAGAGCUAGAGAGAGAGAGAGACAAAGAGAUAUAAAGAUAACAGGGGAUAUCGUCAAUUUAGAAAAAAUAAAUGAAUAAAACUAAACUUUAUGUUAACUUUGAUGUGUUAUAUUUGAAGUCGUUAAAUUAUUGAUAUUAAGUUUUGACGAACCAAAGAUUUUAGAUUCGAACCCUAAUAACACCAUGGUAUAAAUGAAAAAGAAACUCCAUUCCUUUUAUUGCUUGUAUUAAAAACGAAAAAGAAUAAAAAUUAUCUCCUUAUCCUUAAUUAUUUGGGUCGAUAUCUCCUUAUCCUUUUUAUUGGUGGUAAAGAGAAGACAGUCCUUCCACAACGGUCUCGUUUUGCAACGGUCAAAUAAUUCAAAAUUAAAACCUUUUCAACGGUAACAAAGACAGCGACAAAAAUUCAAAACAAAAUCUUUUUAUAAGGGACCAACAGAAAACGAGCAGACAAAAGUCCGCCAAGCUAACUCAAAACCCACAAUGCCUGUGCCUCAUAAUUUGGAUUGCAAAUCAGCACACAGUCUUAAUCCAAACUCAAAAAACAACGCGUACCCAUUUCUUCAUUCUUAGGUUUUCCACGUCAUCAACCUGCAGCUUCUUCGCACUCUGUAAGAAAUCAAACUGUUUUUUUUUGGGGGGGCCUGAAGGGUACGAGAUUUGAGCUGGUGUUUUGAUUCUUAAGGUGAGAAGUGUUCAUCACUUAUUCGUUUAUUCAUUUUGGCUGCUGUUUUAUUUUGCAUACCAUCUGUUGAAGUUUCAAAAAACAAAAAAUAUUGUGUUUCUUUUGCUAGCAAUCUUGUUUUGCUUCGGGUACUGAGUGAAGAAACUAGUUGCGUAAUCCGAAUAAUUAAAUGUACUUUUCGAUGUUUCUUCUAUUUUAAGUCUCAGCUUUCUGAGCGAAAUCAAACAUAAAAAUUGCAGGGAGAAAAGAGAGGGAUUGCUUUUUGUCUUUGUACUAGAUUUCGAGUCUUAUGCUAAGCAGCUUGGAACUUCUUCAUUCAAUUUUUGAUAGAGGGAGCAUGUGGCUCUUUUGCUUCUUGUGUUUCGAAUUUCAGAUUCUGGUGCUAGAAGGUGCUAAGCUUUAUGGGUUCUGAAUCUCCAGUCAAUUUCUCAGGUGGAUCUCCUAGGGCUAGGGUUCACCAUGUUACCCAAACUAGCAAUGACCUUGACAGUGACAUUGGGGGUGUUGAAUUUGCAACCUACACUGUCCACAUACCCUCUACACCUGAUAAUCAGCCCAUGGGAAUGUCCAUGGAGUGGUCCACUUCUCAGAGAGUUGAGGACCAGUAUGCUUCCAGUUCUUUGUUUACCGGCGGUUAUAAUUGCAUUACCCGAGCUCAUUUGAAGGAAAAGGUGAUUGAGUCCGUAACUAGCCAUCCCCAGAUGACCGGCGCGAAAGGGUCGAAUUGCGCUGUGCCCGGUUGUGAUGCUAAGGUAGUCACUGAUGAGAGGGGUGUAGACAUAGUCCCGUGUGAGUGUGAUUACAAGAUCUGUUUGGAUUGUUAUAGGGACGCUAUAAGAACAGGUGAUCAUAUUUGUCCUGGCUGCAAAGAACCUUAUAAGGAGCUGGAUGUGAGUGAGUAUGCUGGGAAUAAUGGGCAGCAUCUGCAGGUGCCAUUCACUUCGAAGAUGGAGAGGAGGUUGUCGUUGAUGAAGUCAACAGCAGUGAUGGGGCGUCAGAGCAGUGAGUUUGAUCAUACCAAAUGGUUGUUCGAGACAAAGGGGAGUUAUGGAUAUGGAAAUGCUAUAUGGCCAAAGGUUGAUGUGGAUGGGAGCCAGGAGGGGAUUGGCGGUGAUCCUAAAGUCUUUCAUGACAAGCAAUGGAGGCCACUUACGCGCAAACUGAAUAUCUCUGCUGCAAUUCUGAGUCCUUAUCGGUAAAACUCUUUUCCUCAUUUGGUGCUCUCUGUUUUCCUCUGAUCUGUUAAUAAUGUCUUCCCAUUUUUUUUGGUUAGGUAGGGCUUUGCCAUUCUCUUUGUUUUUGAAUGUUACCUCAGUGUUUAUUUCUACCUGCACUGUUUUUGUCUUCUAUCUUUUUCUUUUCACUGUGUCGAAAUUACGAAAUGCCUUGUGCUAGUCUAAGAUGUGCUGUGUUACGUAGUUCUUGAACUCUGAAAUUCAUAACAAAGUUGUACACUAAUGUCCAAGUACAUUACAUAGUUUAAGCUUCAAAAGUAUACCUCGGAGUUCAUUACUACUCUUCUAAUUAGUAGCUUUGAAGAAUUUCCUUUUUGGUUUGAAUUCAGCUUGAAAGUUAACCAAUCCUUUUUUGUUGCACUCUUUCAGCUUUCUCUUCCAUAUUGUUAAUUUUGAUGCUGCAGAAGUAAUUCCAUUUAAGCUAGUUAGAGUUGUUUAUACAGUAUUGUCCAUUAUUUGCUUGAACAAGUUAAUUGCAAGCUUAAUUACAUCUUUUUGGUGGGUGGGUGUAUUCUUACAGGAUCCUAAUAUUAGUUCGAAUGGUUGUCCUUGGACUAUUUUUGCAAUGGAGAAUCAGAAACCCUAAUGAGGAUGCAGUGUGGUUGUGGGCUAUGUCUGUCGUUUGUGAAAUCUGGUUCGCCUUCUCCUGGCUACUUGAUCAGCUUCCAAAGCUCUGUCCCAUCAAUCGCAUUACUAAUCUUGAUGUUCUAAAGGAGAAGUUUGAAUCACCUAAUCCCAGCAAUCCUACUGGAAAAUCUGAUCUUCCAGGCAUAGAUAUUUUUGUAUCAACAGCAGAUCCAGAGAAGGAACCACCUCUUGUCACUGCAAACACCAUUCUAUCAAUUCUUGCGGCUGACUACCCUGUUGAGAAGCUUUCUUGCUAUGUUUCUGAUGAUGGAGGUGCACUUUUGACCUUUGAGGCCAUGGCAGAAGCUGCUAGUUUUGCCAAUUUGUGGGUGCCAUUUUGCCGGAAGCAUGCUAUUGAGCCACGAAAUCCAGAAUCGUACUUCAAUCUGAAGAGAGAUCCUUAUAAGAAUAAAGUACGGCCAGAUUUUGUCAAGGACCGCAGACGGUUGAAGCGUGAGUAUGAUGAAUUUAAGGUUAGGAUUAAUGGCCUUCCUGAUUCAAUUCGAAGACGUUCGGAUGCCUAUAAUGCUCGGCACGAGAUGAAGGCUAUGAAACUUGGGAGAGAGAUUGGAAAUGAUGAAGCAGUAGAAAAGAUAAAGAUCCCGAAAGCUACUUGGAUGGCUGAUGGAACCCAUUGGCCUGGCACUUGGACAGUUUCUGUGCCUGAGCAUUCUAGGGGUGAUCAUGCCAGUAUCAUGCAGGUACAUAUGAGUUCCAUUUGUCUUGUAAAAUUUCACAAAUGUAGUCUCAAGAUGUCUCUUCAAAUUAAUUAAACGUGCCGAUUUGUUUGGCUUAAAAGCUAAUUUGUGUCAUAUGUUCAUAUGCAGGUGAUGUUGAAACCUCCUAGUGAUGAACCACUUAGAGGAACAUCAAUGGAUUCAAGUUCCUUGGACCUAAGUGAGGUUGAUAUUCGUCUCCCCAUGCUCGUUUAUGUUUCUCGUGAAAAGCGGCCUGGCUAUGAUCACAACAAGAAAGCUGGUGCCAUGAAUGCUCUGGUUCGCGCCUCAGCAGUCAUGUCCAAUGGCCCCUUCAUUCUCAACCUUGACUGUGACCAUUACGUAUACAACUCCCAAGCACUGAGAGAAGGUAUGUGCUUCAUGAUGGACCGUGGUGGUGAUCGCAUUUGUUAUGUGCAGUUUCCUCAGAGGUUUGAAGGAAUUGACCCUUCUGAUCGCUAUGCCAACCACAACACUGUUUUCUUUGAUGUCAACAUGCGUGCGUUUGAUGGCCUUCAGGGUCCAGUGUAUGUAGGAACUGGAUGCCUCUUUCGUCGCACUGCCCUUUAUGGCUUUGACCCUCCUCGGGUGAAAAAGUGUCGUAAUGGUUGCUGUUGCUGCAGUGGUUUCUCUGCCCGUCGUCGCACAAGGAAAUCUUCUUCUUCAGUUGCGUCUGCCCCUGAAGUUGCCUCCCAAGACUGCCAAUCAAUUGAAGUAGGAGAGUUUGGUGAUGAUGAAGAAAUAAAUCUUGCUCUUGUUCCUAAAAAGUUUGGAAACUCAAGCUUCCUUGUUGACUCAAUUCGAGUGGCAGAAUUCCAAGGUCGGCCCAUUGCUGAUCAUCCAUCCAUGAAACAUGGACGGCCCCCGGGGGCUCUCACUCUCCCUCGGGAGCUUCUUGAUGCAUCAACGGUUGCAGAGGCAAUCAGUGUCAUCUCAUGCUGGUAUGAGGAUAAGACUGAAUGGGGCCAGAGAAUUGGGUGGAUUUAUGGAUCAGUAACUGAAGAUGUGGUGACAGGUUACCGGAUGCACAACCGUGGAUGGAGAUCUGUUUAUUGUGUU
rnacentral:lncRNA from 1 species